CCCAUCAACUCAUCAGCACCCAUCAACUCAUCAUUUAUAUCAGCCAUGGACUCCUGGAGAGACGCCUUGGAGGGAACCUGCGAAAAGAUACCAGCAAGAAACAACUCGGAGUUUCAGAUUACUUCCAACCAGGACAGCCUACAAGAUAGCAGUACAAUCGGGAGAAUUGGGCAAUGUAAUUAUAGUAUGGAAAUGAUGUUGAUCACUCAAGCAGAGUGUAGACCUUGAAUCUAAAACCUUGCUCUGUCUUCCCACCCAUUUUCCAUGGCUCGCACUUGAAGCUGUAGCCACCACACCCAGGAAAGCUGGAGCUAGGUUUCAACACCAAGGAUGACCCUGGAAGGUCACUUGUUGAAACUGGCAGAGCCAUCAGGAGCCUGGGUUCUUGAAUGAACCAGUGGAGCAGAGCCCUCCUUCCCUCCCCCAUCCUCUGGUGCCCUGAACCUGCAUUGCAUCGUCAGGUAAGUAAAACCUGCACUGAUUGAGUUGAGGAGAAACAUGAGGGUUGUCAAUUGCAACAGUUAGAUAAACUUUAUAACAGGUGCUGGGGGAAUGAAC